AUUGAACGCUGGCGGAAUGCUUUACACAUGCAAGUCGAACGGCAGCACGGACCUCGGUCUGGUGGCGAGUGGCGAACGGGUGAGUAAUACAUCGGAACGCGCCCAGUCGUGGGGGAUAACGUAGCGAAAGCUACGCUAAUACCGCAUACGAUCUACGGAUGAAAGCGGGGGAUCGCAAGCCCUCGCGCGAUUGGAGCGGCCGAUGGCAGAUUAGGUAGUGGGUAGGGUAAAGGCCUACCAAGCCGACGAUCUGUAGCUGGUCUGAGAGGAUGAUCAGCCACACUGGGACUGAGACACGGCCCAGACUCCUACGGGAGGCAGCAGUGGGGAAUUUUGGACAAUGGGCGCAAGUCUGAUCCAGCCAUUCCGCGUGCAGGAUGAAGGCCCUCGGGUUGUAAACUGCUUUUGUACAGAACGAAAAGGCUCUGGUUAAUACCUGGGGCUCAUGACGGUACUGUAAGAAUAAGCACCGGCUAACUACGUGCCAGCCGCCGCAGUAA
rnacentral:rRNA from 1 species